GGGGGCGAUUGGAUUCGACUGGGUCACCAUAGAUGAUGGUGGCGUGCCGUGGUUGAUCAGCAGGCCACGUAAAAAGCCGAUCACAUAAUAGUUGCCAAUCGGCAAUUCUCCUUGGCAGCCUAGUGCUGCCACUGGCCUAGGAAUCCCCGUCUGAGGAGUCCGAAAAGCCUGUCGCAAAUUCAGACUGGUGUCCGCUCAGCGCCGACUACAGCGGGUACGAGACAACGUGGUUAGCUGGCCAAAGACAAGCCUCGUUCGUUGAGCUUGUUCCGGUGAGAUCGAUCAGCGAACUACGCACGUAGAGGCUAUCGUUGAGGGAUCACAGGACGGGGGUUCGAUUCCCCCCGCCUCCA
rnacentral:tmRNA from 1 species